UACGGGGGGGGUAAGCGUUGUUCGGAAUUACUGGGCGUAAAGGGCUCGUAGGCGGCCAACUAAGUCAGACGUGAAAUCCCUCAGCUUAACUGGGGAACUGCGUCUGAUACUGGAUGGCUUGGAUUCGGGAGAGGAUUGCGGAAUUCCAGGUGUAGCGGUGAAAUGCGUAGAUAUCUGGAGGAACACCGGUGGCGAAGGCGGCAUUCUGGACCGACAUUGACGCUGAGGAGCGAAAGCCAGGGGAGCAAACGGG
rnacentral:rRNA from 1 species